rnacentral:rRNA from 1 species
UACGGGGGGGGCAAGCGUUGUUCGGAAUUACUGGGCGUAAAGGGCUCGUAGGUGGCCAACUAAGUCAGACGUGAAAUCCCUCGGCUUAACCGGGGAACUGCGUCGGAUACUGGAUGGCUUGAAUCCGGGAGAGGGAUGCGGAAUUCCAGGUGUAGCGGUGAAGUGCGUAGAUAUCUGGAGGAACACCGGUGGCGAAGGCGGCAUCCUGGACCGGCAUUGACGCUAAAGCGCGAAAGCCAGGGGAGCAAACGGG